CGGGGUGGAGUAACGCGUGGGUAACCGUGCCUUGUACAGGGGAGUAACAGUUGGAAACGGCUGCUAAUACCGCAUAAGCGCACAGCAUCGCAUGAUGCAGUGUGAAAAACUCCGGUGGUAUAAGAUGGACCCGCGUUGGAUUAGCUAGUUGGUGAGGUAACGGCCCACCAAGGCGACGAUCCAUAGCCGACCUGAGAGGGUGACCGGCCACAUUGGGACUGAGACACGGCCCAA
rnacentral:rRNA from 1 species